CAUUAUUUAGUUUUCUGAUAAAAUCGGUCAGCUGUUGCCAACCACGUGGUCAACAGGUUGUUUAUCCUGUUCCCUUUUAUGUGAACUUUAUACCUUUUUUAAAUAUAUAUAUAACGAUAUAUAUAAGCCACCUAAAAAUGUUGACUCAUCCCAGCUGGUAGAUUGUUGCAUUAUUUAGCAGCAGUGUGUGCGAUCACUUGUAGGCCUCAUGAGGCUGCUAACUGUGCUAAUUAUAGAUCUAUGUGAACAGAUAUAUGCAAAGAAGUUCCACCCUGUGCCUCUAAAAUAGAGGAAAUGAAACUCUCCCCAGUGUUUAUCAGAGAUCUCUAUAAAAUAUUUCCAUUUUCUAGCUGCAUGUUCUCCUUUUACAUAAUGUGACAACGAUUAAGUAAUUAAUCCAAAGGGAUGAAAUAGAAAAUCAUGUCUAGAUUACAUUACAAAACUGUCUUCAUGAAAACAGGAAAAGCAUGACCUUUCACACCAGUAACAGGUUCAUAAUGAGUUAGUAUCUCUUCCAUUGUAGUGAUUUUUAUAUGUGUGUAUAUAGAUAUGUUAUAGAAAAGCAAACCAUCAUAUGUAACUAGUUGAAAAAAUUAAUGGAAUGGAUAGAAAGAGUUUAUUAAGGCAUUUGUUUUAAAGGAAUAACUUCCUUUUUAUAAUAGGUCCAUCAUCUUCACUAGUAAAGCAUUAUGGCUAAAACAAUGAUACAGGCAAAGACAUUAGAAUCUAAUGAAUGCCAGUUUUAAGUAAGAUUUUCCUGUCUAAAGAUUUUUAGAUUACAAAAAUAAAGCUUAAUAUAUUAGAAUUUUAUGUGUGGUUGUAUAGUUAGUUUCUUUUUCUUGCAGGUUUGUCUUUUUCCCUGCGUUUACAAUCAUCAGUUUUCCCCAUCUACUCUAAUGUGCUUUCCUGUCCUUGUUUUACCAAAUGUGUUAAUCAAUGGAAAUUAAGUUUUAUUUAUGGUUAUCAGAGUAAAUGGGACUGAAUUUGUAUUUUUUUUAAUCUUUAAAUUUAGAGGGGGUUUUUUUGCUAUCUUUUACAUUAAAAUCCAUCUAGGUCAUCGGUUGUAAUGUUAAGGUGCAAGAUGUGGAAGUAAUUUUUCUGAAGGAGAAAAUGUCUCAUUCUUUUUGUUUUUCUUCAUGCAGGAAAAUGUGUGGUAAGCUGAUGCAUCGCUUUGCCCCCAAGGGAUCCACUGAUAUCACAUGACGGCUUUUCAUUGAGCGGUAAGUUACUUCACUCCCAGCUUGUGGUCAAAAAACUGCCUCUAUAGUCACAGGAGCUACUGUUGCCCCUUGAGACGCAGCUUGGCCCUAAAAGUGGCUCUGCUGGGCAUUAGGUGGGCAGAAAGUAAACUGGCUCACGAUAGCUUAAUUUCCACUGUUAAGUGGGCUUUGAGUAUGGAACCGGGCCGGAUAACCACAGCUGUUAGACCCAAAAUAGUAGAUGACUGUAAUCAACCUGGAUGCAUCUUUAAUGCAUGCACGCUUACCUUAAAUAUAUAUAUUUUUUGCCCUGUUGUAAUUUUCUAUUUAAUUUCAAGUUAAAUAUAAAGCCCUCUUAUGAAAGUAAAAAUUAAGUUGUUUAAUUAUUUUCCUCUCUUAAAGGUUUUAGUUGUUGUGCAGAAGCAGAAAUUAAUCAUUUGGUAAGAACAAAGGCCAGAGGAGGAGCAGGAAAGAUGUGCUUCCAGCUGCAUGAUCGUUCUGGAGAGAGUCAUUUGAAGAACAGCAGCAGAGCUUUUUUUAUCAGUGGAAAGAGGUUGUUUAAAAUAAAUGUUUUGCAUCUUGAUUGUGUAACAGAAAUGAAACUUAAAAA